UACGUAGGGGGCAAGCGUUGUCCGGAUUUAUUGGGCGUAAAGAGCGUGUAGGCGGCUUCACAGGUCCGCUGUGAAAACUCGAGGCUCAACCUCGAGACGCCGGUGGAAACCAUCAGACUAGAGUCCGGAAGAGGAGAGUGGAAUUCCCGGUGUAGCGGUGAAAUGCGCAGAUAUCGGGAAGAACACCCGUGGCGAAGGCGGCUCUCUGGAACGCAACUGACGCUGAGACGCGAAAGCGUGGGGAGCAAACAGG
rnacentral:rRNA from 1 species